rnacentral:rRNA from 1 species
CCUACCGGUGCCCCGCAGCGACUCUAAACAAGUGUGCAGUCGGCGAUGCGAUCGCUGGCAACGCUACCAAUCUGCGCUGGGAGCGCCCGAACGUGGGCGUGACCAGCAGCUCCCCUGGAGUUCACAGGUCAAACGGUUGCGGCCACCCCGGGGUGGUUCUGAUAUGAUCGGCCCAGCCGUGGUGCGACGGCUGGCGAAGUUUGCGGAACCUGCGGAAGGAUCAUUA